AGAGUUAGAGAGAGAGAGAGAGAGAGUGGAAGGGGGAGAAAGACAAGAAGAGAGUCGCAUUGAGACAGACAGAUGGAGGAGAAGCAUGUAGCAGCAGCAGCAGAGGAGGAGGAGGAGGAGGAGAAACAAAGCGUGUUGACUGAGGAAGUGUUCAUGCCAUGCAGGCCAUGUGCUCAGCCUGAACUUCCUCUAGAUGCACAUCAGUGAAAAAGGCGGUGCAGACGUGCUGAUGGAGGCUCUGCUGUCCUGCUGAAAAUCCAGGCGAUGUGGCCACAGCUGCAGGAGGACGAGGUUUCCGUUCAGGACUCUUUAAAUCACUGCUGAGUGAAGGGGGAAGCAGGAUUCCCCUCUGUGAAGCUGCUGAAACAAGAGGAGAAACUUAAAGGAAAGGACACCGGGGACGCUGGGAAGAAGCGGGGGGAUCCCUGGGUCCAGCGCCGGGAGGAACUCUCACCCAGACGGGUAAGUGAAAAAAGAAAGAAUGAAAAAAAUGGAAAGUAAGAGCUGCUUCUGCUGCUGUUGAUGGAUAUCAUAUGUUACAAGUUAAGGUUGAGAAACUGCUCCCAGAUCUUUAAUGGGAACAGUGCCGGUCUGUGGGCUGUCAGUGGAGCCUGAUAGGGGAGAAAUGCCUCUUUUUUUUUCUUUCCUUUUGGUUCCCGAUCACCUACAUUUGUGUCGUUACCUCACGGUGUGAUUACAGAAGAGCUGAUUCACCGUUACACAGUCUGGCCGACGUUCAGGACGGUGGAUUAGGCUCAGUGUGCUGCAGCGACAGAGCCUCAUCCGAGAUGAGAAGCCAUGUGACUAAAAUAGGUUUUCUGUGGUUAAUAGGCUUCUUUUUUUCAUACAGAGGCUCCACUUCCUCUCGCUGCCUCAGUCACGCUGUGUCUCAGCCCCCACCUCCGCCCCACACAGUCCACUCCUUCUGCAGCAGAGGGCAUGAAUGAACUGAGGCUGGGUGGAGGUGGAGGCGGUCUGGGGUGGCGUUGGUGGGGAUACAGUAUCAUACGGCACGGACGAGCGCCGUGCGGCUUCUUUAUGAAUGGACGGCCGACGCGAUUGGCCGAGCUAGAGUGACGACAGCAUCGCAGAGCCGAUGUUUAGAUCCGUUCGUCGCCGCCACUGCCGUAUCUCCCGGUUACCACCUCUUAAAGCUGCAUCGGAGUGCAUGCGGGUGAAUCAGUGGUUCUGGGUGACAUGUGUUUGCCCAGCCGAGGCUUAGUCACAACCUGAAACAGUGGGGAGUGUGUCUUAGAGCUGGGGAUUUCAAAAAAAAAAAAAAAAAAAGAAGUGGUGGCUGUUGUUCUUCAAAUUAUCUCCCACUCUGUGUGACUAAGGCGACGGUCUCUGCAGCCAUCGUUUGUCAUGUGAUGAGAGGUCUGCACGCUGCAAAAAGAGAACUUAAAACAACUGCCAACACGCAAUUCAACUGCAGAUUAAGUUACAUUAGUGCCACGGGUUUAAGUUAGAGCUGCUUCUCAAAUAAAACGAAAAGUUUGUAUUGCCUUUCUCAAAAUGGAAAAUCAUAAAUCACCGCGAUCAUAAACUGUAAAAACUGAACAUUUAUGAUAACUGCUAUUUGAAGGAUUUCUCCAUGAUUUGUUCAAUCACAGAUAAUAACGAACAAAAUCUCAGAAAAAUAAGUAUUAAUUCACACGUUUAUGGUAAAGAGAAACAGGCCAAACCUUUAGAUAAUUAAAUAAUUACAGUUAUUAAUUUAAAAAAUCUGUAUUUUCACAAAUUAAUUCAUUCUUUUACAAUGUUUAACUGCAAAAUGACACUUUUAACUGUAUUUUGAUCAGCAGAAACUGUCAUUAUUUCACACAUAUUUGCAAUUCCUUUGAAGAAAAUUGUACAUAUUAAGCUCUGAAAAAUAGUAAAUGUCUCAACCUUCAGUCCCUGUUUUCUUUGGAAAUAGUAAUUCAUUCGUUGACCGCAAAAUUACACAAUAUUUACUGUAUUUAAAUCAGCAAAAGAUAUCAUUAUUUUACAAAUAUAUGAGAGAAAAAUCAUGUAUAAGCAUUUAAAUUGCUUAUUACAAAUGGUAAUUCAUUAUUUCACAUUUAACAAUAAAAUUACUUAAUUUUUGCUGUAUUUAAAUCACCUAAAAUAUCAUUAUUAGAAACAUAAUUGUUUUUCAAAAGAAAAAUUAGACAUAUUACAUACAUAAAUAGAUAUUAAGUAUUUAAAAUUGGAAAUAUUUCAACCUUCAGUGCCUGUAUUUUUAUUCAUGAUAAUUCAUUCUUUUGCAACAGUCAAAUGUAAAAUCACAUAGUAUUUACUGCAUUUCAAUCAGCAGGAAUGUCAAUUAUUUUAUAAAUAUUUGCUGUGAUUUAAGAGAAAGAUUAUGUAUAGUACGCAUUGAAAUGAUAAAUAAUUUACCUGUCAUUCUUCAGCCUUUGUAUUUAUACUAAUAAUAUUUCGUUCCUUUACAGUGUAUGACCAUGAAAUUUCACUAUUUUCACUGUAUUUGAAUCCGCUACAAAAAUCAGAAUUAACAGAAGAUAAUUGCUGUUAUUUGAAAUUUAAAAAUAUGCAUAUUAAGUAUUGACAAAAUAUAAAUAUUUCAGACUUCAUCCCCUGUAUUUUCAUGAAUAGAAAUUUUGUUCUUUUACAAUGUUUGACCAUAAAAUAACACUAUUUUAACUGUAGUCAAAUCAGCAAAAAUUAUCAUUAUUUAAUAGAUAUUUGCUGUUAUUGGACAGAAAUUUUUUUUUAUAUUAGGCUUGGGAAAAUGCACAAUUGCGCAAU